rnacentral:rRNA from 1 species
UCCAGACUCCUACGGGAGGCAGCAGUGGGGAAUAUUGCACAAUGGGGGAAACCCUGAUGCAGCGACGCCGCGUGGGUGAAGAAGUACUUCGGUACGUAAAGCCCUAUCAGCAGGGAAGAAAAUGACGGUACCUGAUUAAGAAGCCCCGGCUAACUACGUGCCAACAGCCGCGGUAAUACGUAGGUGGCAAGCGUUAUCCGGAUUUAUUGGGUGUAAAGGGUGCGUAGACGGAGAAGCAAGUUAGUUGUGAAAUCCCUCGGCUUAACUGAGGAACUGCAACUAAAACUACUUCCCUUGAGUACUGGAGAGGAAAGUGGAAUUCCUAGUGUAGCGGUGAAAUGCGUAGAUAUUAGGAGGAACACCAGUGGCGAAGGCGGAUUGCUGGACAGUAACUGACGCUGAGGCGCGAAAGCGUGGGGAGCAAACAGGAUUAGAUACCCUUGUA